GGGCCCGCACAAGCGGUGGAGCAUGUGGUUUAAUUCGAUGAUACGCGAGGAACCUUACCAGGGCUUAAAUGCAGAACGACCGGGGUGGAAACACCCCUUUCUUCGGACGGUCUGCAAGGUGCUGCAUGGUUGUCGUCAGCUCGUGCUGUGAAGUGUCGGGUUAAGUCCCAUAACGAGCGCAACCCCUAUUUCUAGUUGCCAGCGGUUCGGCCGGGGACUCUAGAGAAACUGCCAGCGUAAGCUGUGAGGAAGGUGGGGAUGACGUCAAAUCAUCACGGCCCUUACGUCCUGGGCCACACACGUGCUACAAUGGCCGGUACAGAAAGCAGCCACUAUGCGAAUAGGAGCUAAUCUUUAAAAACCGGUCUCAGUUCGGAUCGCAGUCUGCAACUCGACUGCGUGAAGCUGGAAUCGCUAGUAA
rnacentral:rRNA from 1 species